AGGACGAACGCUGGCGGCGUGCCUAACACAUGCAAGUCGAACGGGGAUUUGUUUCGGCAGAAUCCUAGUGGCGAACGGGUGAGUAACGCGUAGGCAACCUGCCCUCCGGCCGGGGACAACACUCCGAAAGGGGUGCUAAUACCGGAUACGAAGUCUGUGCCGCAUGGUACGGAUUUGAAAGAUGGCCUCUAUUUAUAAGCUAUCGCCGGGGGAUGGGCCUGCGUCCGAUUAGCUGGUUGGUGGGGUAACGGCCUACCAAGGCGACGGUCGGUAGCCGGUCUGAGAGGAUGAACGGCCACAUUGGGACUGAGACACGGCCCAGACUCCUACGGGAGGCAGCAGUGGGGAAUCUUCCGCAAUGGGCGCAAGCCUGACGGAGCAACGCCGCGUGAGUGAGGAAGUUCUUCGGAACGUAAAGCUCUGUUGUUCCUGACGAACCUCCCCUCUAUCAACAACGGAGGGGACUGACGGUAGGGAACGAGGAAGCCACGGCUAACUACGUGCCAGCCGCCGC
rnacentral:rRNA from 1 species